AUUGAACGCUGGCGGCAUGCUUUACACAUGCAAGUCGAACGGUAACAGGGUGCUUGCACCGCUGACGAGUGGCGAACGGGUGAGUAAUGCGUCGGAACGUGCCGAGUAGUGGGGGAUAACGCAGCGAAAGUUGUGCUAAUACCGCAUACGUACUGAGGUAGAAAGUGGGGGACCUUCGGGCCUCACGCUAUUCGAGCGGCCGACGUCUGAUUAGCUAGUAGGUGAGGUAAAGGCUCACCUAGGCGACGAUCAGUAGCGGGUCUGAGAGGAUGAUCCGCCACACUGUGACUGAGACACGGCCCAGACUCCUACGGGAGGCAGCAGUGGGGAAUUUUGGACAAUGGGCGAAAGCCUGAUCCAGCCAUGCCGCGUGUCUGAAGAAGGCCUUCGGGUUGUAAAGGACUUUUGUCGGGGAGGAAAUCCCCAGCGUUAAUACCGCUGGGGGAUGACAGUACCUGAAGAAUAAGCACCGGCUAACUCUGUGCCAGCCGCCGCCGUAAUAC
rnacentral:rRNA from 1 species